UCCCUGGUGGCUAGAUGGUAAAGUGUCUGCCUACAAUGUGGGAGACCCAGGUUCAAUCCCUGGGUCGGGAA
rfam:TPA: Bos taurus chromosome 1, whole genome shotgun sequence.